UUCACUUUUUGACUCUUCAUCUUAUUCAAUUUUUUUUGCGAUUGAUAUUUUUAUUUUAAUUAGAUGAUAAAUCAUAAAUAGUACUUUACAUGUGACUAAUUUUUUUAAAUUUUCUAAAAUUUUUUUAAAUAAGACGAAUGGUUAAACGUUGGACAGGAAAACC
rnacentral:pre_miRNA from 1 species